rnacentral:rRNA from 1 species
UACGAAGGGGGCUAGCGUUGUUCGGAUUUACUGGGCGUAAAGCGCACGUAGGCGGAUUGUUAAGUUAGGGGUGAAAUCCCAGGGCUCAACCCUGGAACUGCCUUUAAUACUGGCAAUCUCGAGUCCGGAAGAGGUGAGUGGAAUUCCGAGUGUAGAGGUGAAAUUCGUAGAUAUUCGGAGGAACACCAGUGGCGAAGGCGGCUCACUGGUCCGGUACUGACGCUGAGGUGCGAAAGCGUGGGGAGCAAAC